GGAGAGAGCUGCGUGAUGUAUCACCACUCACCAGCCCUUGCCGGAGACCUGUUUAGAGUGAGAUUACAGUCUCAGCAGAGCCUCUCAUUUCUCCUGGUCACGGGGUUACAGAGCACUUUACAACUUGUGCUACAGGAAGGCAGGGAGGGAUUUAAAUGAGAGACUGGAAGAGACCCUCCAUAAACCUCAGCCAGAGCAGCCCUGACUCACAGUGCUGUCACUGGCUAUGCCGUCAUCCUUACCUUGUCCACCUAGAGUGUUCAUCACGAGCUGUUUUUGCCCACUUAUCCCCCAGUCACUGCCCACUUUGAUACCACUGCUCCUAAGGCCACUAAAGCUGCCUCACUGCGUGACCUUGCUCUGAUUUCUCCAACUUCUCUUGGUGCGGAAGUUUCCUGAGAAGGACAUACCUGAGAAGCAUCCACCAGAACUGUACUCACACCACCCAACUGAUCUGGACCUUCUGGAGAGGCAAAGGGCCUGCUCUAACCUGAGAAGUGGAGGAGAUUUUGUCUUCUUUACACUGAGGAGUUUUAAUCCUAGAGCCAAUGUUAUUUAAUUCCAGUUGUGAUCACUUCUAUGAAGGCUAUUUUGAGGACCUGUCACAGGCAAGUGUGUGUGCCUUAAACGGGGUGUUGGGUUAUUUUUGUUCUUUGUAUCAUGAUUCUCUAUACUUACAUAUAAGUUAUAAUUAUUUUUUUGCCAUCUAUUCAAUACUUAAUCAAUGUUUUAAAAAUACUCAAUUGACACUUCAGGAGAGUUUUUAAGUGUUAUUCAUGUGGGUUCAGGUUCAGCUCUAGCACUUAGCAGCUGUGUGAUUUUGGGCAAGUUACUUAACCUCCCUAAGCCUUGAUUUUCUUAUCCGUGAAAUGGGAAUGUCAAAACAUUUACCUCAUGGAUGGUUGUGAGGAUUAAAUGAGAAAAUGCAUGUAAACUGCUUAUCCAAGUAGUACUGUGUACAGAGUAAGUGCUUAUUAAUGUUCACUAUAACUUAAAAUAUGAUGAUGGGAAAUGAUAGCAUGGGAAAAUACUCACGAUUUGACAUAUGUAUACAUUAUGUAAUGAUUACCACAGUCAGAUUAACACAUCCAUCACCACCCAUGCUGUACAUUAGAUCCCCUGAACUUGUCAUCUUAUAGAUUGUACCCUGUGACUAACAUGUCCCCAUUCCCCCAACCUCGUACUCUGGUAACCACCAUUCUACUCUUUGCCUCUAUGUGUUUGACUUCUUUAGAGUCCACAUGUAAGUUGAGACCAUGCAGUAUUUGUCUUUCUAUGUCUGAUUAUUUCACUUAUCAUAAUGUCUUCCAGGUUCAUCCAUGUUGUUGCAAAUGGCAGGAUUUCAUUCUUUUUUAUGGCUGAAUAAUAUAAAUAUGAUAUAUAAAUAUGAAUAUAUGCUAUAUACACAAUGGAAUAUCUAUACACAUACACAUAUAUCAAUCACAUUUUCUUUAUUCAUUUGUCAAUGGACACUUAGGUUGUUUCCAUAUAUUGACUAUCAUGAAUAAUGCUGCAAUGAACACAGGGGUGCAGAUGCCUGUUUGAGAUACCAAUUUCAUCUCCUUUGGAUAUAUACCCAGAAGUGGGAUUACUAGAUUUUAUGGUGGUUCCAUGUUUAAUUUUUUGAAGAACCAGCAUACUUUUUUCCAUAAUGGCUGUAUUAAUUUACAUUCCUACCAACAGUAUGCUAGGGUUUCCUUUUCUCCACAUUCUCACCAACAUUUGUUAUAUCUUGUCUUUUUUGGUAUCCUAACAGCAUAAGCUGAUAUACCACUUUGGUUUUGAUUUGCAUUUCCCUAAUCAUUAGUGAUGUUGCACACCUUUACAUAUAUAUAUGUGUAGGUCAUUUGUGUGUUUUCUUUGGAAAAAAUGUCUAUUCAGGUUCUUAGCCCAUUCGUGAAUAAGGUUUUUUGUCUUUUUGCUAUUGAAUUAUCCUUUUAUGAUAAAAACUCUCAACAAAUUAGGCAUAGAAGGAAUGUGCCUCAACAUAAUAAAGGCAAUAUAUGGCAAACCCACAGCUAACAUCAUACUCAGUGGUGAAAAGCUGAAAGCUUUUCUUCUAAGAUCAGAAACAAUACAAGGGUGCUCACUUUCACUACUACUAUCCAACAUAGUACUGGAAGUCCUAGCCAGAGAAGCUAGGCUAAAUAAAUAAAUGGCAUUCAAAUUUGAAAGGAAGAAAUAAAAUUGUCUGUUUGCAGAUGACAUGAUCUUAUAUAUAGAAAACCCUAAAGACUCAAUUA
rnacentral:lncRNA from 1 species